rnacentral:rRNA from 1 species
UACGUAGGUGGCAAGCGUUUGUCCGGAAUUAUUGGGCGUAAAGCGCGCGCAGGCGGUCCUUUAAGUCUGAUGUGAAAGCCCACGGCUCAACCGUGGAGGGUCAUUGGAAACUGGAGGACUUGAGUACUGAAGAGGAAAGUGGAAUUCCACGUGUAGCGGUGAAAUGCGUAGAGAUGUGGAGGAACACCAGUGGCGAAGGCGACUUCUGGUCAGUAACUGACGCUGAGGCGCGAAAGCGUGGGGAGCAAACAGG